UAUUAACAUGCAUAUUUAAAUUUGGGGAAAACUAAGGAACUACUCUAUUAAUGUGAGUUUACUUAAAGGAACCCACCUGAAUGAGAUUAAUCUCAGGAGCUUUAAGAAAUGAGCUACUCCACAGAAUUUCCAAUAAUUCAAGAUGAUGACUAUGAUGCUAAUUUCAAACCCAAAAUUCUGCAUCUGACCUUGGACUUCAAACACGUCUCUAGGAUUCGUUAUAGCUCCAAAUUUCAUGAAAUGGGCGUCGAAACGACCGAAAUUGCGUAAUCUAACCAUAGAAACAAACCCCGUACGAAACAGAGGUACAGAGAGUGAACAGUCACCGUUUUAGUGAGACCCUGUCCAGAUUACGGGUUUCACAUACUGCUUCCAAUUCCCAAUUUCUAUUGUACUAUAANNNNNNNNNNGGAGGAUUGUAAUGAAGUUUACCUUGAUUGUAGCUCUAAGACUCAAAAUUAUCCUAGCUUUGACCUCUUGAUUUCUGUCCUCCAAAAUCAUAACCUCUUCCUAGAGCUUAAAAUCUAUGGAACAAGAUUAUGGAUUUGCAUGUAGACUUAGAGAAGUGGGUGAGUUGAUUUGGUGAGAUGAAGAUGAUGCUGAUGCGUGAGGGGGAGAGAGAGCUUGAGAGUGUUGUUGUUGUUGUCUCGUGAGGAGAGGAGUAAGAGGGAGA
rnacentral:lncRNA from 1 species